rnacentral:rRNA from 1 species
AGUGAACGCUGGUGGUAGGCCUAACACAUGCAAGUCGAACGGCAGCACAGUAAGAGCUUGCUCUUACGGGUGGCGAGUGGCGGACGGGUGAGGAAUACAUCGGAAUCUACUUUUUCGUGGGGGAUAACGUAGGGAAACUUACGCUAAUACCGCAUACGACCUACGGGUGAAAGCAGGGGAUCUUCGGACCUUGCGCGAUUGAAUGAGCCGAUGUCGGAUUAGCUAGUUGGCGGGGUAAAGGCCCACCAAGGCGACGAUCCGUAGCUGGUCUGAGAGGAUGAUCAGCCACACUGGAACUGAGACACGGUCCAGACUCCUACGGGAGGCAGCAGUGGGGAAUAUUGGACAAAGGGCGCAAGCCUGAUCCAGCCAUACCGCGUGGGUGAAGAAGGCCUUCGGGUUGUAAAGCCCUUUUGUUGGGAAAGAAAAGCAGCAGGUUAAUACCCCGCUGUUCUGACGGUACCCAAAGAAUAAGCACCGGCUAACUUCGUG